GCGGAGGCCAGGUCAGC
rnacentral:tRNA from 1 species